GCCCGCUCAAGAAACUUAAAGGAAGUGACGGGGCCCGCACAAGCGGUGGAGUAUGUGGUUUAAUUCGAUGCAACGCGAAGAACCUUACCUGGUCUUGACAUCCCGGAGACCCUUAGGAAACUAGGGGGUGCUUCCAUCUGGAAGAAUCUGGAGACAGGUGCUGCAUGGCUGUCGUCAGCUCGUGUCGUGAGAUGUUGGGUUAAGUCCCGCAACGAGCGCAACCCUUGCCUUUAGUUGCCAGCAGUUCGGCUGGGCACUCUAAAGGGACUGCCGGUGUUAAACCGGAGGAAGGUGGGGAUGACGUCAAGUCCUCAUGGCCUUUAUGACCAGGGCUACACACGCACUACAAUGGCCGAUACAAAGGGCAGCGACACUGCGAGGUGAAGCCAAUCCCGUAAAAUCGGUCUCAGUCCGGAUUGGAGUCUGCAACUCGACUCCAUGAAGUUGGAAUCGCUAGUAAUCGUGGAUCAGCAUGCCACGGUGAAUACGUUCCCGGGCCUU
rnacentral:rRNA from 1 species